GAGUUUGAUCGUGGCUCAGAACGAACGUUAGCGGCGCGCCUAACACAUGCAAGUCGCACGAGAAAGGGAUUCGUCCCCGGUACAGUGGCGCACGGGUGAGUAACACGUGGGUAAUCUGCCUUUGAGCGGGGGAUAACAUUCCGAAAGGAGUGCUAAUACCGCAUAAGACCACGCCCUCGAAAGAGGAAGCGGUCAAAGCUGGCCUCUAUACAUAAGCUAGCACUCGAAGAUGAGCCCGCGGAGCAUCAGGUAGUUGGUGAGGUAAUGGCUCACCAAGCCUAAGACGCUUAGCUGGUCUGAGAGGAUGAUCAGCCACACUGGGACUGAGACACGGUCCAGACUCCUACGGGAGGCAGCAGUGGGGAAUCUUGCGCAAUGGGCGAAAGCCUGACGCAGCGACGCCGCGUGAGUGAUGAAGGCC
rnacentral:rRNA from 1 species